CACGAACGCUGGCGGCAGGCUUAACACAUGCAAGUCGAGCGCCCCGCAAGGGGAGCGGCAGCCGGGUGAGUAACGCGUGGGAAUCUACCCCUCUCUACGGAAUAACGCAUGGAAACGUGUGCUAAUACCGUAUACGUCCUUCGGGAGAAAGAUUUAUCGGAGAUGGAUGAUCCCGCGUUGGAUUAGCUAGUUGGUGGGGUAAAGGCCUACCAAGGCGACGAACCAUAGCUGGUCUGCGAGGAUGAUCAGCCACACUGGGACUGAGACACGGCCCAGACUCCUACGGGAGGCAGCAGUGGGGAAUAUUGGACAAUGGGCGCAAGCCUGAUCCAGCCAUGCCGCGUGAGUGAUGAAGGCCCUAGGGUUGUAAAGCUCUUUCACCGGUGAAGAUAAUGACGGUAACCGGAGAAGAAGCCCCGGCUAACUUCGUGCCAGCAGCCGCCGCAGUAA
rnacentral:rRNA from 1 species